UUUUUCGUCCAUCCAUUUUUAGGUUCGUCUCUCUCUAACUACCGGACAAUAGAGACUUUCUUUGUCAAGACUUCAUCUAGACCAAUAUGGAGUAGGAAUCCUAAUCUAAAUAGGUUCCUCAGAUCAUGAGUACUCUAAAUAGAACCCUUAUAUAAUAAUCAAAUAGAAAAGGUAAGAGUCGUUCUGCUAUUUAUUUGCUCGUCUUUCUUUAUUUAGUUCUCUAUCAAGAGGGAGACAAAAAAAUCAUGUCCAUGUGUUCCUUAUUUUAUAUUCUCCGUCCGUUUACAAAGCAAGCAAACUCCCAACUUCUAUCUCCUUUUUGAUUCAAGCUUGUAGAGUCCAAAUAUUUCACGGAAACGUGGUGGCAAUCUUUCUAAAUAUUUUUGUACAAAUAUUAUGUAGUAGUAACAAGACCGGACUCGAACUCCGGGUGCAGAACGACAGAGAUAUAUGGUAUAUAGCCUGAGGCACCAUACAUAUAUGUAUAAUAAUGAAUAAAUACAGAUAUAUCACGCCAUACCAUUAUUGUUAUUUUUUAGUUUGAUUUGAUUGAUUGAAGCUCAUCAGUAGAUUUGGAUGCAAUGAACCGCGUUGUGGUGUACUGGUAUGACCUCGUGACAUUGAAAAGGCGGCGGGCACAAGGACGACCAUGACCAAUGCGGCAUCGUGGCGCACAUGCCAGACAACAAGCGUGGCAUGAGUCGGACGUAGGUGGCUAGACCAAGGUCAUCACGGGAGUCUCUGGGGCACUCGAUCUGGUUCACUUUGACGACAGACGACGCUGGCAAUAGGCUGUCAUGUCAAGGCCAUCGGAGUAGCUCCAAUAUGACAUGGGGCUCGUUUUGGGCAACUUUAGGUACACUAUACCCUAUGACUCCGCAGGCUCACCGAGCUGUCUCUUCAUGUGGACGUGGUGUUUGACAACGGUGCACAAACACUCAUCAGGCAACGCACAAAUUGGUAGGAGCCCAAGCAAAUAAGGAUGACAAUUAAAAGCACAACAUGCGGAACCGCAAGAAGACGAACCAUGUCUUGUAGUCGAGACAGCGUUGCCGGCCACUUCCUGUCAGUCUCCUAGGCGUCCUAAUUGGUAGACUGUGUGUGUAUGGGCCGGCACCACUAUUGGGCUGUCGACCCAUUAGGGUUAGGAUUGUGAGUCUAUAUAUUGUACCCCAUCUCCUAUCAAUAUAUCAAGCACUUUCAUAAUUCUACAUGGUAUCAGAGGAUUAGGGUUCCCACAACCCAACUCCCACAGCCGCCACCUGCCAACCCCCACAGCCGCCUGCCUAGGUCUAGCCGCUGCCCCGGGAGGCUCAUCCUUCCCUCCUGGGGCGGCUCCCUUCCCAGCCGCCGGCCACCCCUUUGCCCUGACCGUCCCAAUUCGCUGCUCCCUCCCCUCGCCGGCCGGCCGCCGGCCUCCCCGGCCUAGGGGACGCCACGCCCGACGGACGGGCCCGCCUCCACUGGAUUCGCCCAGUCACUUGUCUCCGUGGUUGGAUCCGCCCGAGACGUCGACCCCUUCCUCUCCGGCGCGCCCGCUUGGCUCGCCCCUCUCACUCUGCGCCACCGGCGGCCGAUCGCGGUCCUCCCUCCUAGCGCCGCUGGCCGCCCUUUGGCCGGAUCGAUCUGCCGUCCCUUUGGGCUGCCGACCCAUUAGGGAUAGGGAUGUGAGUCUAUAUAUUGUACCCCAUCUCCUAUCAAUAUAUCAAGCACUUCCAUAAUUCUACACUGAUGGAUUAAAAGCUAUUGGAACUGGAAGCCAAAUCGUAUCUAAGGCACCGUCUCUAGAGCAGACUGCAUACAUCACCAGCGUGCUUGUGCAUUGGGUCACCUCUAUGCAUAUGGGGACCAACAAGGCAGACACUUAUCUAAGCCACGUGUGCACCACAUAGUUCCAGCCCAGGCUGCGUGAAGACAUGCGUGCGUGUUGCCAUGACUACUCCCGCAUGAACGUUGUGCCGUGGUGCAAUGUCGGCAUAGUUUCGUACUGUGGCCAUCACGCUAUCGGCCAGGGCUGCCUCGCCAUGGUCAGUAACACCAUGCGCACGUGGUGUCGUGGUCGCAAGUUCUAGCCACCUCGCUGUGGUCGUAUCUCGGAUGUGGCUAGACCGUUAAGUUUAAUUCCGCAAUUAUUUUGGUCAGCCAACGUGAUUAAGUUUUAGAAAAGACUAUUCACCCCAUCUUGUCCACCAUAUAGACCCUACGUCAGCAACCAGUGACACCCAUAAGUAAUGGUUAUAACUAGUGCUUCAUAUAUAUUGUAUGCAUCUCGUUCGUUUUUUAUUAAUCAUAUCCUAGAAAUGAUGUUCGCUCCUAGGAGGAUCGGAUCAAAAGUUGUUGCGGCAUUAAUCCAUGAUCGGAAUGCUCGACACCAAUAUUGGGAACCAUCCACAAGUGUGUCAAGUAUUGCUCACCAAUUUCUCAAAUAUAAUUGCGCCUAAAAAUAAAGGACUAAUAAAUACUUCACCGGACAUACAUCACUUGUCAACACUAGGCAUCUCAUUGUUUAUUAUUCGAUAUAUUGAGUAGGACACUACUCAAUAUAGAUUCAACACAGACACUUAAAUGUAUGAAAUCAACCAUGAAAGCAAGAUCAGACAUCACACUCGCAUUAUUCAAUUGAUGCUUGCCUUUCAUAUAUCAAGGCAUAAAAGGUAUAAAUAUAGCCUUUGCUAGUAGGCAAUCUAGCUUACUAGCAAAAGCUACCUUUAUACCAUUUUAUGCCUUGAUAUAUGGAGUUUCUUCAACGGUUUCCUCAUUAGUGUUUGGGUCCAGGCCAAAGUAGAUGACAACACGUAUAGCUCCGGCUGCGAGUUCGUCUGAAGGCCUCGGGCUCUCAUUCAAAUCCACAUCUACUGAAUCAAAGAAUGUUACAUCUGGCCGCUCUUGUUCUAUUACUGCAAUUGCAUCAUUAAUUUCCUUGCCAAUCAACUCGGGCCAACUGGUCUUGUUCUGCGUAGCCAUGAUCACGUACUGUCCUUAGCUUCUCUCUCUUUUGAAACUGUUAUAAUACCAAUAAGAAUCAAUAAUUGAGCAACAUUAGUGUAACGAAUAGAAACAUAAUAUGUUGUUUUGUGCUAAUGCUAUCAUACUUUCAUAGUAAGCAUAUGUCUUAAUCGAAUGCACUACAUAACUAUCGGGCUGCUAACAGUCUAUUAAAAUUUUAAAAAGAUACUCUUUUUUUCAAAGCAAUUACUAACAAAGAAUACAUGAUUACCUGAAGGGAAGAACACAGUAGCCUCUGGCGAUGAUACGUGCUCUAUGUAUAGGUGUGUAUAUAUACACGACGACAUUUGUAUUGUUGGUUGGAUGUUGUCGGUGAAAACAAUGCAAAUAUUUUUUCCACCAUUAAUUAGGAAAACACGAUCAUAUUGCCCUUUUGCUGCCAAUAACUGUAGUUCUCGACCAUAACAAUGCAGGCUUUGACUUAGUAAACAUCAUCAUAUCUCCUUGUUCACAGGGGGGCAGCUGAAUGCCCAUACUGUACACAGCCCGUGACUCAAACAAUAUACGUGUAAUCCAAAUGAAACAUAAAAAAGCCCUAGAAAUAGUGCUACCCACUAUGAUUAAUGUCAUUGUUGUCUAGCUAAAAUUUUUGACCCCACAUGCAUCGUUUCCUAACCUGACUCAAAUCUAACACAUGCCAGACUUUCGUGGUUUCUCAUGUUUUGUUAUUUUUGUUUUUUCAUAUAUUUAAAUGCCUCACAUGGCCAUGCACUGGAACCAGAUUCUUAGCUAUGGGCUGGCAUGAUGCAUCUGUCAACAAAAUCUCCAGUUUUCCACGCUGUUGAAUCGACAGGUACAGUAGACAAAUACAGAAAAGGGCUGGCCUGGUUAAAAAACGGCUCAGGUUAGCAAGCAGCCUGGCCUGCUUCACGUUUGAGAGAAGGUGGCUUCGAACGAGACCUGAUCGUUUCCUUCGUCCUGGGGCCUGGGCGACUUGGCUGGCUCUUGCUCAAUGGGAGUUGACAGGACAGAUCACGGCCAGCCAGUUAGGUCGCUGUGACGAGCUGUACAAGAGGAGUGUUCCGCGAUGAUGCGUCUCAAGCAGAUUUAUAUCGGAGGAGAUGAACCGCGUUGGCUCUUCUCUCGGUUCUGAAAGGUGGUCUAAGUGAAUAAUUUUUUUUCUUUAUCAAACCAGUUUUGGCUUAUUGUGUUUCUGAACAUAAUUUGCUUGGUUCAUUUGGUUACUGGUAGUUAUACCAAUGCAGAAUAACAAAGUUUUAUGGUGACUAACAAAAACAAAGGAUGCCCAACAUAUACUUUCUUGUAGAUAGGAAUAGUAGAUAAUCUCCGGUAUAUUUGGUAGUGGUUUAAACUAAUGUUUGUUGUUGUCUUGUCUAAUGUUCUGCUUGUAACUGUCUGUCAAGAACAUGACUUGACCUUAUGAAACAUAUUUGACUGGGUAUCUUUAGGGCUGAUAUUGUUGUUGAUAGCAUUAUCUAAUGUCAUGCUUGUAACUUUCUGUCAAGAACAUGACUUGACCUUAUGAAACAUAUUUGACUGGGUAUCUUUAGGGCUGAGAUUGUUGUUGAUAGCAUUAUAGCAAGUACGCUAGAUGUUACCUCAUUGAUUUUAAGUAAUGUCCUUAGAUAGUGAUUCUCGAUGCACCAUAUCUUUUCUCAACUCGAUCAAUCCUUGACAUUGCAAGUCUUCUUCACCCUGGCUUUGGGUUCCUCGGCCUCCUUGACCUUCCGUGCACUCGGUACCUCGAAGCUCUUCUUGCCUCCAGCCUUGGCUUGACCAGUUGUCUCCAAGAUAUGCACACCAAGUCUCACAUAAGCAAUCUUCUCCUUCACUUGUGGUGUCCACACCCUUAAUCAACUCAGCCUUUGGAACAUCACUCAUGAACACUUGAGUUGAACUUUACAAGUUUUACACAAAGCACCCGUCCAACACUUAACACACCUGUCAGUCCUUUAUUUGGGUUGUCAUUCAAACCACCCAAACCCACAAGAGAGCUUUCAGGUGGGCGGGUGGAGGAAGAGGCACAUGCAUCUAGGGAAGUACUUCAAUGUCUUGUGUUGUUUCGUGCCACAUGCAGAGGUGCGUGCAUCCACAGAAGUUCGUCCUGUGGCCUGCGGACAGUGGACGCGAGUGACCGGACGCGACGCCUAUGUCCAGUCGUCCAGGCACGACGCCUACGUCAGCACGUCCGGGCGCGAGGAGUUCUGAUUAUUUAUGUAUGGCAAAUACUCAUUAUGAAAAUAUAAAGGCAUCUAGGCACUAUGCAGCAGAUCAUGAAUAAAAAAGUAGUCCCUAAUAUAUAGCUAAUAAUAAAGAGGCAAAAAUUCAGCCUAUUUUUUGUCUAUCCAUUUUUUAGGCCCGUCUCUCUCUAACUACCAGACAAUAGAGACUUUCUUUGUCCAGACUUCAUCUAGACCAAUAUGGAGUAUGAAUCCUAAUCUAAACAGGUUCCUCAGAUCAUGAGUACUCUAAAAUUGAACCCAUAUAUAAUAAUCAAAUAGAAAAGGUAAGAGUCGUUCUGCUAUUUAUUUUGCUCGACUUUCUUUAUUUAGUUCUCUAUCAAGAGGGAGACAAAAAAAUCAUGUCCAUGUGUUCCUUAUUUUAUAUUCUCCGUCCGUUUACAAAGCAAGCGAACUCCCAAUUUUUAUCUCCUUUUUUAUUCAAGCUUGUAGAGUUCAAAUAUUUUACAGAAACGUGAUGGCAAUCUUUCUAAAUAUUUUUGUACAAAUAUUAUGUAGUAGUAACAUGUUCGGGCUUGAACUCCGGGUGAAGAACGACAGAGAUAUAUGGUAUAUAGCCUGAGACACCAUACAUACAUGUAUAUAAUGAAUAAAUACAUAUAUAUUACGCCGUACCAUUAUUGUUAUUCUUUAGUUUGAUUUGAUUGAGUGAAGCUCUUCAGUAGAUUCAGAUGCAAUGAACUGCGGUGUGGUGUACUGGUAUGACCUCGUGACAUUGAAAAGGCGGCGGGCACGAGGACGACCAUGACCAACAC
rnacentral:lncRNA from 1 species